rnacentral:sRNA from 1 species
GAUUCUUAUUUCUAGUCACGGGCAAUAUGGCCCUUCAGUUUUGAAAGAUUUAUUCUAAAUUGGCCAUGGAAGAAUUCUGGUUUUGUCACUCUCUAAAAUUUAACCCAAAGUCCAAUUCUAUUUGAGUUAGCAUUCUGAGAGUAUAUCCAUAUUAUUAAGGUAGUAAGUGUAUGAAGUAACUUUUUUAUGCGUUGCUUUUCAGGAGUAGAGGUUUACCACUCUUAGGUGACUAAGCAGUAUCACAAAUAAACCCUCCAGCAAGUUUAAAAAUAAUUAGGUCCAACUCAGAGGAAGUGGAGUUUCUCCUGUUGCACAAAAAUGAUGUCUAGCAGCUCCAGUGAAAUCGAUGUGGUUUGUAUUCAAAUUGAAAAUCUGUCUUUGUUCUUUUUAUUGUGCUAUACUUCUAUUCUAAAUUUAGUUUAAUUUUAUACAGUGAAAUGCAUAGAUCAUAAGUAAAUUUUUGUUAUGUAUUUUAACAGUAAUAUAUAAAGCUCUUGUGACAAUUUGUGUACAAGUUUCUUUGUGAACACACACUUAAAUUUCUUUUGGGUGAACAGACAGAAGUUGAAUUACUAGGUCAUGGAGUUCAUGUGAAUUUAACUCUGUGAGAAUCUGCCAUACAGUUUUUCAAAGUGGUUGUGCUGUUUUUACAUUUCUGUUAUAUUCUUCCAUAUUUCUUAAUCCUUCACGUUGAAUCAGUAUGUAGAUUAUUAAACUAUAAAUAAUUUGGCUUAACAGAAAACACCUUUUUUUUAGUCACAUAAGGACAUAGAUAUUAAUGCUACCUAAGUCGUCUAGGCAAUUCUCUUAACUACUGUCAGUCCUAAUGUUUUUCAAAAAUCUUUGGAGAUAAUGUUAACUGCCUACCAAGAGUCAUUUUUCUCUGACAUAACUAUGUAAAAGCACUUUGAAAAGCAUAAGGCACUAUACAAGGGUAAGAUAGUAUAUUUUUAAAAGUAUUGAACUGUAACCCAAUUCCAUAUGUUUUUGUGAUUUCUAUCAUGUAUUUUGAAACAAAAACAUACAUAGCUACCAAGUAUGUUUAUUAUAAAAUUAUUCCCAUAGUUCAUAAUUCAUUCUUAGGAUGAAGAGUUAUUAUACUGAAGUGUAAUGGUUAUUUACUCCUUACUUAUUUAUACCCUGUCUUAUUUUUAAAAGUUUUAAGGUACUUUAGAGAUUAAUUUAUCAAGAAAAAUAGGUGCUCAAAUGUUUUCUAUCUUGUCCACAAAGGGGCACUGUUGGAUUAUUUAGAAAUCAAAAAACAUGUAACAUUUAUUUCUUUGUUCAUGGUUAGAAAUAUUUGCUUUUAAAGUAUUUCUGGUGCUAAAGGACUAGUCUUUCUACCAUGAAGCAUAUAAAGGGUUAAGCUCAGUGAAAACUGUUGUCUUAAGUGUAGUUGGGUUAAUGAGAACACAGUUCUGCAAAUACAUCUUUUCAUGUAGUCAUAGUAUUUACAAUGAGCAAAGGUCCUUUGAUAUCACAAAUAGGCCUUUGUAACAGCCUCUUGAAAGUGAAAUUAAACCCUCAACUUUUCUUUUAGUUCUGUCUUUCAUCUUCCCUUUUAAUUUGUUGAUAAAUCUUCCUCAGGUAAAAACAAGAAUACCUACUUAUGAUGAAGAUGACAACACUAUUCUUUAUGCGUAUGAAACAAAACCUGAAUUGGUCAAUAAAGUAUGUUAAUUGCUAAUUGCCAAAUAUAUUAACAUUUGCUGUUUUAAAGGAAAAGAUGUAAAUUCCUCAUAUACUGUGGAGUUCCCGUAAACUCACACUCAAGAAAAUAUCUCUCCCCUGAAUUUGUACGCUUGCUUUCAUCAGAGAAUGAGCACUUAACCAAUUUACUUUCCCCUUUUUCUUAUAUAGUAGAAAAUUAAGAGCAGUUUUGUACUCACUUUCAGUAUAAAACUCUAAACCUGAAUUCUUCUGAUAUAAUAAAUUCUUUUCUUGCCCCUUCCUCAAUUGUCAGUUUUUCGUUCUCAUAUUAAUGUGAAUUUUAAAAAUCUCUGCUUAAUUUAAGACUUCUGAAACCCCUUGAAAAGUUGGUGAUAAAUAAAAACAAUUUAAAUAAAUAAAUAUAGCUCCCCCCUGCCCCCAGUGUUCAGUUUGGCCGUUACAGAAAUAAAUCAUUAACUACUUUUAAAAUAUUAGCAGGAACCGAAGAUUGUAUCUGACGCAUCCUGUAAUACUGAAGAGCAACUGAAGACAGUUAAUGAUGUCCUUAUCCAUUGCCAGGUUAUAUAUGAUGCUAUGCAAAACCUGGAUAAGAAGAUUGAUGUGAUUCGUAGAAAGGUUUCAAAAAUCCAACGUUUCCAUGCGAGAUUCCUGUGGGCAAAUCGUAAGCGAUAUGGAUACAAAAAGUAUUCUUACCGGCUUGCUAAAAAGCUUAAACUCCAGAAAAUGAAGAAAAAUGAGGUUUACGAGUCAUUCUCCUACCCUGAAAGUUACAGCCCCACUUUACCAGUGUCAAGGCGUGAGAAUAAUUCCCCGAGCAACCUUCCAAGGCCAUCCUUUUGCAUGGAAGAAUACCAGCCAGCUGAGCCGGAGGAGGACCCGAUCCUCAGCCGCACUCCGAGUCCAGUGCAUCCCUCAGAUUUCUCUGAGCAUAAUUAUCAGCCGUAUUAUGCAUCUGAUGGUGCAAUGUAUGGUUCUUCUUCAGGGCCCUGCCUUGGCAACCCUCGGGCUGACAGCAUCCACAACACUUACUCAACUGACCAUGCUUCUGCAGCACCACCUUCAGUUACAAGGUCACCAUUUGAAAAUGACUGUUACAUAGAGGAAGGAAGCAUCACUAAGCACCCUUCAACUUGGUCGGUGGAAGCAGUGGUCCUGUUUCUAAAACAAACAGAUCCUGUUGCAUUAUGCCCUCUUGUCGACCUCUUCAGAAGCCAUGAAAUUGACGGGAAGGCUCUGCUCCUACUCACGAGUGAUGUGUUGCUGAAGCACUUGGGGGUGAAGCUGGGAACGGCUGUGAAGCUAUGCUACUACAUUGACCGACUUAAACAAGGAAAAUGCUUUGAAAAUUGAAAAAAUCCUUGUGCAAAUUUAGAUUGGGCCAACUUCUAGAGGCACCAAUGCCUUCUUAGUGUAGAAUCAUUUUUCUGCCCUUUAGUCGUUUUUGUUUUGUAGAAAGUAUCUCUCAAAAUAUAUUAUAGCUAGAAUUGUAGAACUAUGUUAUAGUCCAGUCUACUUCUUUAAAAACCACUUAACUGCUAGAUAGUAUUAGAAUAGUCCAACAGGAAAUUCAUUCUUUAUAGGUCUUUAAAAAUUACUUGUAUUAUAUUGUUUACAAAUAUAUUUCAUGCAAGAAACAGAAAAAAAAAAAAAACCCUUUGAUUCUGGUUCAUCUCGAUACAGAGAACCAAAACAGCUAAGAGAGGUAUUAUCAGGGUUGACAACUCCUAUGAUUGAAUCUAUGGGAAUUAUUCCUCAGAAGAGAAUUUAAAGGUGUACCCGUAGAUAUCUCUUUCUGGAGUAUUUUAUCUGUCUGAUGUUGCAGUAUUCUACAAGUUUCCAGAAAGAGAAUAGCCAUAUAAAUUAUUUUCCUUUCUGCUAUUAUUUCUCUAUAUGUUUUAUUUAUUCAGAUUUAGAGAAAAAAAUAAGCAUAUAAACUUUUAUUAAGUGCCCUUAACAGUUUUAAGAUAAACUAUAGGAUAGAUAGAAUGGUUAUUUUAUGCAAGAAAUAUUGUACCGCAAGGGUGGUUUGGAUGAAGUCUGACUACUUUUUUUCAAACUAUUAUAUUAAAACUUUCAUAUUUUGGCUAAGUUUGGACAUAUAACUACACUUUCAUUGUUUGCAUCUCUCUAUGAGGAUACCUCUGUCCAAACUUUUAAAAGGCAUAACUUUAUGUGUUUAUUCUUCAUAUAGAUAGUAUUUUAUAUUUUAUUCUCACCCGAAAUAUACACACAAUCUUUUUUAAAAAAAUUUAAAAUGGCAUUUUGUAUUGCCACAGAGGUAGGAUGAGCCAUAUAUUAGUGAAAUGUUUUAUUUUGUAAAAUGUAAAUGAAUUAUUUGCCAUCAUUAGUACCUCUCAACUUACUUUUUAGAGGACAAGAAACAAUCUGUAGAUUGGUUUCCAUACAGGGAAGUUCUCUGUCCUAUGCAAUGUUUCUAAUUAAUUUGCUUAAUUCUGAGCCAUUAAUCCUGCUACACUUUGAAUGAUACAUUAAUUCAGACUAAUCUUUGGGGGCUUUAUUUUGUAAGUUAGAACUUUCAAGGGAAACAUGUUCAACACUAUUAUUUUGUUAUAAAUUUAUAACUUUGUUAUUACAUUGUAUAACAAAUAUAAGGUUUAUAAGCUAUGAGAAUUGGUGCUAUCACCAUUAGCUAUUUGCUGUAAUGUCAAGAAAAUGUUCACCAGAUGCAAGAAUGUACCUUUUCUUUUUAGAAAGCCAAAUGUACUUUAGACAUGAAUGCAACUAUUUAAAGAAUAGCUUCAUCUGUGUUAUUCCUUAUAUGUCAUAAGAUUCUUACUUAAACUUGGUCUUCUUUCAAAUUGUUUGUAUGAAGAUGCUGUACCCACUUGAACAGUCCUCAGGUGUUUACAUAAAUACUAUGUUUUACAGUUUUCAUAUUUUAAAAUAUUAAUAAAUCACAACAGUUCA